rnacentral:rRNA from 1 species
AUUGAACGCUGGCGGCAGGCUUAACACAUGCAAGUCGAGCGGGGGAAGGUAGCUUGCUACCGGACCUAGCGGCGGACGGGUGAGUAAUGCUUAGGAAUCUGCCUAUUAGUGGGGGACAACAUCUCGAAAGGGAUGCUAAUACCGCAUACGUCCUACGGGAGAAAGCAGGGGAUCUUCGGACCUUGCGCUAAUAGAUGAUCCUAAGUCGGAUUAGCUAGUUGGUGGGGUAAAGGCCUACCAAGGCGACGAUCUGUAGCGGGUCUGAGAGGAUGAUCCUCCACACUGGGACAGAGACACGGCCCAGACUCCUACGGGAGGCAGCAGCGGGGAAUAUUGGACAAUGGGGGGAACCCUGAUCCAGCCAUGCCGCGUGUGUGAAGAAGGCCUUAUGGUUGUAGAGCACUUUAAGCGAGGAGGAAGCUACUCUAGUUAAUACCUAGGGAUAGUGGACGUUACUCGCAGAAUAAGCACCGGCUAACUCUGUGCCAGCCGCCGCGGUAA